rnacentral:rRNA from 1 species
UACGUAGGGUGCGAGCGUUGUCCGGAAUUAUUGGGCGUAAAGAGCUCGUAGGCGGUUUGUCGCGUCGGGAGUGAAAACUUCGGGCUUAACUCGGAGCUUGCUUUCGAUACGGGCAGACUUGAGGCAUUCAGGGGAGAACGGAAUUCCUGGUGUAGCGGUGAAAUGCGCAGAUAUCAGGAGGAACACCGGUGGCGAAGGCGGUUCUCUGGGAAUGUUCUGACGCUGAGGAGCGAAAGCGUGGGGAGCAAACAGG